AGCUGCCAAGGAUUCUGGGGUUCUGUCCAUCAGCUCAGCAGGUGUUCCAGAGAAGGAAGAGUGUUGCAGCCUACUUCCUACCCACAAUCCCCUGCUCCACACAGAACAUGCCCCCUCGCCCACCAUUGGCUGGUCGGCUGCCCUUCCCACACCUCAUUGCCUUACAGGUCCAACACACUCUCACAGGGUCAGAGUGUGUGUUCUCGUACGGCUCUGCUG